rnacentral:rRNA from 1 species
CCUACGGGAGGCAGCAGUGAGGAAUAUUUGUCAAUGGGCUUACGCCUGAACCAGCCAAGUCGCGUGAGGGAAGACUGCCCUAUGGGUUGUAAACCUCUUUUGUCAGGGAGCAACGCCGGCUACGUGUAGCCGGACUGAGAGUACCUGAAGAAAAAGCAUCGGCUAACUCCGUGCCCGCAGCCGCGGUAAUACGGAGGAUGCGAGCGUUAUCCGGAUUUAUUGGGUUAAAGGGGUGCGUAGGCGGAAUGCCAAGUCAGCGGUAAAAUCGCGGGGCUCAACCUCGCUCCGCCGUUGAAACUGGCGUUCUGGAGUGGGCGAGAAGUAUGCGGAAUGCGUGGUGUAGCGGUGAAAUGCAUAGAUAUCACGCAGAACUCCGAUUGCGAAGGCAGCAUACCGGCGCCCGACUGACGCGGAGGCACGAAAGCGUGGGGAUCGAACAGGAUUAGAUACCCCGGUAGUC